CUUCCGCCCUCACUGGUUGCCGUGGUAACAGGCCUCCGGUGGAGGGCGGGGACCCUCGGAAGCCAGCUGGGUGGCGAUCGCUUGUCUGCCUUGGCAGGCCCCUUGUGCAGUCUUUUCCCGGCGUGAGCGUGCAGGGAUUGAAAAGGAAUGCUUUAUGGUUCAGCAGAGAGUCACCACGCAGGAUGUACUGGGACCUGUGAACCGUCGGGCAGUCCCACGAGCUCUUUCAUGACCAGCUCCAACCGACAAGUACACGCCCCUUCUCUCACUCCACUAGCUAGUAAGCUGAGCUACAAGGUGUGCCAGGCACCCAGGACGCCGAUUCACCGCUUCAGAGCCCUCUUUCUUCCAUUCAUUUACUUGUCUAGUCAAACACCCAUCAGACCUUUGCCAGGUGUCCAGCCUGGGCACUACGUUUCAGAAAAUGAUGCACAUAGAAUCCCUAACUGAAAGGAGAUCGCAGCUCAUUUGGUACAAAGUGGCUGAUUCUUUGACUGGUGAGCCACUCCCCAGGCAGGCAUAGCAUCACAGAGUUUCUGAGAAGGUACACCCUGGAUGCAAAGCGGUGUUGCUGAAAGACUCCAUGCCAGGGGUAACGGCAGAGUCCCAAAACACAUGAAGCAAGAACUGACAGAACUGGAGGGAGACAUCAAUCAAUAACAACAGCUGGAGAAUUCAAUACCCUGCUCUGAAUAAUGGAUAGAACAAUUAGGCAGAAGACCAACAAAGAAAGAGGAUAUUUGAACAACGUGAUAAGCCAAUUUGACCUAAUAAAUAUCUUUAUCUGUGAAA